rnacentral:rRNA from 1 species
GACGAACGCUGGCGGCGUGCCUAAUACAUGCAAGUUGAGCGAUGAAGCUUGGUGCUUGCACCAAUUUGAAGAGCAGCGAACGGGUGAGUAACGCGUGGGGAAUCUGCCUUUGAGCGGGGGACAACAUUUGGAAACGAAUGCUAAUACCGCAUAACAACUUUAAACAUAAGUUUUAAGUUUGAAAGAUGCAAUUGCAUCACUCAAAGAUGAUCCCGCGUUGUAUUAGCUAGUUGGUGAGGUAAAGGCUCACCAAGGCGAUGAUACAUAGCCGACCUGAGAGGGGGAUCGGCCACAUUGGGACUGAGGCACGGCCCAAACUCCUACGGGAGGCAGCAGUAGGGAAUCUUCGGCAAUGGACGAAAGUCUGACCGAGCAACGCCGCGUGAGUGAAGAAGGUUUUCGGAUCGUAAAACUCUGUUGGUAGAGAGGAACGUUGGUGAGAGUGGAAAGCUCAUCAAGUGACGGUAACUACCCAGAAAGGGACGGCUAACUACGUG